rnacentral:rRNA from 1 species
UACGGAGGGAGCGAGCGUUAUUCGGAAUUACUGGGCGUAAAGCGUAUGUAGGCGGUUUUUUAAGACAGAUGUGAAAUCCCAGAGCUUAACUUUGGAACUGCAUUUGUGACUGGAAGACUCGAGUAUCGGAGAGGUUGGCGGAAUUCCUAGUGUAGCAGUGAAAUGCGCAGAUAUUAGGAGGAACACCGAUGGCGUAAGCAGCCAACUGGACGAUUACUGACGCUGAGAUACGAAAGUAUGGGGAGCAAACAGG